UAGGGAAUCUUCGGCAAUGGACGAAAGUCUGACCGAGCAACGCCGCGUGAGUGAAGAAGGUUUUCGGAUCGUAAAACUCUGUUGGUAGAGAAGACGUUGGUGAGAGUGGAAAGCUCAUCAAGUGACAGUAACUACCCAGGAAAGGGACGGCUAACUACGUGCCAG
rnacentral:rRNA from 1 species